ACAUAAGGGUUUUGAGGAAGAUGGGUGAGAUUGAGAAGCUUAGCCGGCAAGAGAGCUAUGAAUGAGAUUUUUCCAUUGACUCCUGUUAUGUGCAGAGUGGGCUCGAGACGAAGCUUCAAUUUCAACUGGUUUGCUUGCCCUCUUGCAAAACUCGUUUCUCUUAGUAUAAGCGUAUCUGUUUCUCCAAUGUUGAAAAUCAACCUGAGGCAUUUCUGGGGAUUGGAAGAUUUAUGAAAGAG